AUCUUUGUGCAUGGAGCAAUGACGCAGCUAGUGAGGUUUUAACCGAAGCGCGUCUAUUGCUGGUUGAAAACUAUUUCCAAAACCCCUCUUCGGCCUAGGCUAAACUUUGGCCGUCGUGAAUUUUUGGAAGGGCUUCCCUUUUAUGGUAGAGCC